rnacentral:tRNA from 1 species
AAGAAAGUGGCAGAGUGGCUAUGCGACUGGCUUGAAACCAGGGUAUGGGGGUUCAAUUCCUCCCUUUCUCG